CCUACGGGUGGCAGCAGUGAGGAAUAUUGGUCAAUGGGCGCGAGCCUGAACCAGCCAAGUAGCGUGAAGGAUGAAUGCCCUACGGGUUGUAAACUUCUUUUAUAAAGGAAUAAAGUGAGGCACGAGUGCCUUUUUGUAUGUACUUUAUGAAUAAGGAUCGGCUAACUCCGGGCCAGCAGCCGAGGUAAUACGGAGGAUCCGAGCGUUAUCCGGAUUGAUUGGGUUUAAAGGGAGCGUAGAUGGGUUGUUAAGUCAGUUGUGAAAUUUUGCGGCUCAACCGUAAAAUUGCAAUUGAUACUGGCAGUCUUGAGUACAGUUGAGGUAGGCAGAAUUCGUGGUGUAGCGGUGAAAUGCUUAGAUAUCACGAAGAACUCCGAUUGCGAAGGCAGCUUACUAAACUGCCACUGACAUUGAUGCUCGAAAGUGUGGGUAUCAAACAGGAUUAGAUACCCUUGUAGUC
rnacentral:rRNA from 1 species